UCUCGAUAGCGUAAAAGUUAACUAAUAUUGGUAUUGUAUGGAGUUGAACGUUUGCCUACGUUUGCCGCUAGGGGCGCUGUUCCAACUGCAUACAAAUUUGAGUUAACUUUUACGCUAUCGA
rnacentral:pre_miRNA from 9 species